rnacentral:lncRNA from 1 species
CUCAGUCACUCAUCAGGAGGCCCAUGUGGUUCUUGUGAAGCUCAGACCUGAGAUAAUGCAGACCAGCCUCCAGUGGCAAAGGCAGACCAGAGAUUUCCUGGAAAGAGGAGAACAUGAGGGCAGUCAGGAUGCAAAGCAAUCAAUCACCUUCAUUAUUAGCAAACCCACAACAAACUGCCUGAACUUCCUUUCCUGCCCUUCGUACAGCAGAUCUCCAAAGCACCGAACUGCCUACCUAGUGCUGUGCUUUGGAAGUGAGGGGGCCACACAAAUUCACAGUUUUAAAGUGAAAUAGAGGACUAGUGUGGUGAUGUAGCACUGUAAUCCCAGCACUUGGAGAAAGGACCCAAUUGUGAGGGAAGGCUGGCCUAUAUAGCAAAACCCUGUCUAAAAAGAAAAUUCGAUUACAUAGAUAAAUGGAUAGAUAUACUGAAGAUAAACAGAUAAA